rnacentral:rRNA from 1 species
GACGAACGCUGGCGGCGUGCCUAAUACAUGCAAGUUGAGCGAUGAAGAUUGGUGCUUGCACCAAUUUGAAGAGCAGCGAACGGGUGAGUAACGCGUGGGGAAUCUGCCUUUGAGCGGGGGACAACAUUUGGAAACGAAUGCUAAUACCGCAUAACAACUUUAAACAUAAGUUUUAAGUUUGAAAGAUGCAAUUGCAUCACUCAAAGAUGAUCCCGCGUUGUAUUAGCUAGUUGGUGAGGUAAAGGCUCACCAAGGCGAUGAUACAUAGCCGACCUGAGAGGGUGAUCGGCCACAUUGGGACUGAGACACGGCCCAAACUCCUACGGGAGGCAGCAGUAGGGAAUCUUCGGCAAUGGACGAAAGUCUGACCGAGUAACGCCGCGUGAGUGAAGAAGGUUUUCGGAUCGUAAAACUCUGUUGGUAGAGAAGAACGUUGGUGAGAGUGGAAAGCUCAUCAAGUGACGGUAACUACCCAGAAAGGGACGGCUAACUACGUG